UACGUAGGGGGCUAGCGUUGUCCGGAAUCAUUGGGCGUAAAGAGCGUGUAGGCGGUCCGGUAAGUCCGCUGUGAAAGUCGGGGGCUCAACCCUCGAAUGCCGGUGGAUACUGUCGGGCUAGAGUGCGGAAGAGGCGAGUGGAAUUCCUGGUGUAGCGGUGAAAUGCGCAGAUAUCAGGAGGAACACCUAUAGCGAAGGCAGCUUGCUGGGACGUUACUGACGCUAAGGCGCGAAAGCGUGGGGAGCGAACAGG
rnacentral:rRNA from 1 species